GACGAACGCUGGCGGCGUGCUUAACACAUGCAAGUCGAACGGAAAGGCCCCUUCGGGGGUACGUCGAGUGGCGAACGGGUGAGUAACACGUGGGCAACCUGCCCUCAGCUUCGGGAUAACACUUGGAAACAGGUGCUAAUACCGGAUAAUAACUUGUCAUCGCAUGGUGGUGGGGUUCAAAGUUUUUCGGCUGAGGAUGGGCCCGCGGCCUAUCAGCUUGUUGGUGGGGUAAUGGCCUACCAAGGCGACGACGGGUAGCCGGCCUGAGAGGGCGACCGGCCACACUGGGACUGAGACACGGCCCAGACUCCUACGGGAGGCAGCAGUGGGGAAUAUUGCGCAAUGGGCGGAAGCCUGACGCAGCGACGCCGCGUGAGGGAUGACGGCCUCGGUUGUAAC
rnacentral:rRNA from 1 species